GCUAUCAAUAGGCACUUUUUUUUACUUUAUUUUAAUCAGGAGAAAGUCUACUAUAUUAUACUUGCACAACAUCAUCAAUAACAAGAUAAUUAUAUUUUUUUAUUUUAAAAAAUAUAAUAAAAAUAUAUAUUUUUUUAAUUUUGAUAGGAUAAAAUAAAUUCAAACAAAUUAUUCGAUUGAUUGGAGACACCACACCACUAAUAUAACCGGUGCAUUUUAAAUUUUUUCUCCCAACAAG
rnacentral:lncRNA from 1 species